GAGUUUGAUCUUGGCUCAGAUUGAACGCUGGCGGCAUGCCUUACACAUGCAAGUCGAACGGCAGCACGGGAGCUUGCUCCUGGUGGCGAGUGGCGAACGGGUGAGUAAUGCAUCGGAACGUAUCCUGGAGUGGGGGAUAACGUAGCGAAAGUUACGCUAAUACCGCAUAUUCUGUGAGCAGGAAAGCGGGGGACCUUCGGGGCCUCGCGCUCUUGGAGCGGCCGAUGUCGGAUUAGCUAGUUGGUGAGGUAAAGGCGUCACCAAGGCGACGAUCCGUAGCAGGUCUGAGAGGAUGAUCUGCCACACUGGAACUGAGACACGGUCCAGACUCCUACGGGAGGCAGCAGUGGGAAUUUUGGACAAUGGGGGCAACCCUGAUCCAGCCAUGCCGCGUCGAGUG
rnacentral:rRNA from 1 species